CUAUGGCCAAGAAAUGAAGGACAAAAUUGUCAAUCCACCAAAAAACUAAUUACCGAAGAGAAUCCAAGAAACUAGCCAGAUUUUACGUGAUCAAAUUUGUUUGAAUUCACUCAGAAGUCAAAAGCAUUACAUGGCUGACCAAAGAACUCUUAAAUCCAUGGUUCUGAAAACCGGACCGGACCGGCUGGUUCAACCGGAAAAACCGGGAACCGGUCACUUAACCGGUCCGAGUGACGCUAAUAACCGCCUGGCAAAAAACCGGCUAAAAAAUCGGUCGAACCGGCGAACCGGAAGAACCGUCCGGUUUUUUAGCGGUUCAAUAGUUUGCAAAUUCAUAUGCCAAACGACGUCGUUUUGGCAUUUUAAAAAAAAAAAAAAGAAAACAGAAUAACGUUCGCCUAACCCUAAUCUGAUACUCCCCCCCCCUUUCUUCCCCUUUCUGGCUUUCUUCCCCAAUCCCCAGUUCCCUUUCUUCCCCAGAAUCGGCGCCAGCGUCCAUAGCCACCGGCCACCCACAGCGCGCCAGCGUCCAUAGCCACCCGCCACCCACAGCCAUCAAGGCCAUAGCCGAGCCCGCGACCACCACUGGCCGAGCCCGCCUCCUCGUCGCCACCCACAACCAUCGACAGCAACAGCUACCACCACCGGCCGAGCCCGCCUCCUCGUCGCCACCCACAACCAUCGACAGCAGCCAACGACCACCGGCCGAGCUCGCCUCCUUCCGAAAUAGUUUUCUGGUCUUUGGUUUUCUGAUUGUUAUAGAUGGAACAAUCACAAAGUAACCCACAGCCACAAGAUUCUCAAACUGGUUCAUCCAGAGGUAAAUCCGAUCCAGCUUGGAAUAAUUAUGAUUUUUGAUGAGUUGCAUCUUUGAUUAGUUGAAAACUUGCUAGUAAUUGUAUCUUUUGAACGUAGAACAUUAUGGGUUUGUCAUUAUGUACGUUUUAUUUUUUGUUUAGUUAUAAACUUUGAUGUUUGAAGUUGUUUGGGAACUUCUAAUAUUAAGUAAUGGAUAAUUUAUUAUGUGAAAUAUUAAAUUUUAUUAAGUUAGAAAUUA